rnacentral:tRNA from 1 species
GAGGAAGUACAGAAAAUAGUAAGCACUGCUAAUUCUUACGCCCGCGGUUAAAAUCCGCGGCUUCCCCA